GCUUCCUCUUGCUCUGAUUGGAAGGCACGACCCGUCACUCACCUUGGAUGAGAGCGAGCACAAACUGCCAAGAUGAAGCAUUACGAGGUGGAGAUUCUGGAUGGCAAGACCAAGGACAAACUCUGCUUCCUGGACAAGGUUGAGCCCAAAUGCCACUAUUGGGGAGAUCAAGUCUAUGUUC